rnacentral:rRNA from 1 species
GUUAAUAGGUUCGAGGUGGAAGCAUGGUGACAUGUGGAGCUGACGAAUACUAAUCGAUCGAAGACUUAAUCAA